rnacentral:rRNA from 1 species
GUGCUGGGCGGAGGCUACACAUGCAGUCGAACGGUAACAUUUCUAGCUUGCUAGAAGAUGACGAGUGGCGGACGGGUGAGUAAUGCUUGGGAACUUGCCUUUGCGAGGGGGAUAACAGUUGGAAACGACUGCUAAUACCGCAUAAUGUCUUCGGACCAAACGGGGCUUUUAGCUCCGGCGCAAAGAGAGGCCCAAGUGAGAUUAGCUAGUUGGUAAGGUAACGGCUUACCAAGGCGACGAUCUCUAGCUGUUCUGAGAGGAAGAUCAGCCACACUGGGACUGAGACACGGCCCAAACUCCUACGGGAGGCAGCAGUGGGGAAUAUUGCACAAUGGGGGAAACCCUGAUGCAGCCAUGCCGCGUGUGUGAAGAAGGCCUUCGGGUUGUAAAGCACUUUCAGUUGUGAGGAAAAGUUAGUAGUUAAUACCUGCUAGCCGUGACGUUAACAACAGAAGAAGCACCGGCUAACUCCGUGCCAGCAGCCGCGGUAAUACGGAGGGUGCGAGCGUUAAUCGGAAUUACUGGGCGUAAAGCGCACGCAGGCGGUUUGUUAAGCUAGAUGUGAAAGCCCCGGGCUCAACCUGGGAUGGUCAUUUAGAACUGGCAGACUAGAGUCUUGGAGAGGGGAGUGGAAUUCCAGGUGUAGCGGUGAAAUGCGUAGAUAUCUGGAGGAACAUCAGUGGCGAAGGCGACUCCCUGGCCAAAGACUGACGCUCAUGUGCGAAAGUGUGGGUAGCGAACAGGAUUAGAUACCCC